GCCUUGGUGGCUCAGUUGGUUAAGCAUCUGACUUUGGCUCAGGUCAUGAUCUCGUGAGUCGUGAGUUCAAGCCCCACGUCAGGCU
rnacentral:tRNA from 1 species